GAUUAUUGUAUAUUUAUUUAAGUGUAUAUUUGUCUUUAGUGUCAGGUGGAAGUAUAGCUGCAUCUUCUGUUUCGAAUGAAAAUGAUUCCUUAUCAUUCGAACAAUACCAAAGUUAUCGCUCCCAACACCCGGGACCUCUCUCAGAGAGGUCCUUCAAUAAAUGGAAACGUAAUGGCGGUAUGGAUGAGCCCUCCUUUAAAUGGAGGGCUUUUAAUAAAAUUUUUAAUUGUCUUUUCACCAAUUAAUCCUGACUUCAAAUUUGAAGCCCUCUUAAAUACCCCUCCCUAAAUUCUAAAGUCGAAAGUUGAAUUGAUUCAUUAUCCAAUUAUCAUAAUAUAAUGAUGCUGCA
rnacentral:lncRNA from 1 species